CUGAUUCUCAGCGGAGAAUCUUUGUUCUCUCAGAGAGAAUCUUUGUUCUCGCAGAUCGGCCUGGAAUUGUCGGGGAAAAUGGCCGUCCGGAGGAAAAGGAAGGAUAAUAAUAAAGCUUCCGUCGGGAGAAUUUCACAAAAGCAGAGUCACAUUUCAAAGCAGCUGCCGGUCCCCACUGAGGGGACCCGGGAAGAGACAGCCGCAUCUGUGAGCGCCUGUUUAGUUUCUGUCUGAAACCUGCCAGAAUCCGCACGCGGCUGUCAGCCACCAGAUGAGGAACAUGAAGCAAAAAGGGACUUGCCCAAGGCACCCAGCAAGUCAACAGCAAAUCUAUGACUAGAACUCAGGUCACGCGAUGUCCAGCUCACCAUGGUCUUGUUCGAAGACUGCCUCCUGGUUCACAUUGCCUCCUCUCUGUAGAAAGGAGCACGGAAACAGCCCUGCAUCAACCUCACUUCCUAAUGCAUCCAGACCAGACCCUUGCGCUGUUGAAUGAAUAGAUGAACCAUUGAAUGGAUUCACCUUUACCCUAAAGACAGAAUGCCAUCAACCUCCUGUCAUGGUGCGUCAGGAAAGGGUAAGCUGUGAAGGAUGCACUCAUCAUCCAGGAGCCCGUGUGCUGCUGGCACUUUCUUCCAGCUUCAAGAACCCCUGCUCUUUGGGCUGGAAGGUGCCCAGGAGCUGGAGGAACCUCCUAAGGGACAGGAAACAGGGAAGGAACUAGGCAGAGGGGCCCAAGCUGAUCGGAGCCAAGGCUGACCAGUGAGGAAUUGGUUCCAAUUUCUCUGUUUCUGUUUUUGACCUAGUAGACAAAGUGUAAAUACCCAAAGCAAAGCUCAGCUGGGAAAGAAUCUGCCUGCAAUGCAGGAGACCCUGGUUCAAUUCCUGGGUCAGGAAGUUCCCCUAGAGAAGGGAUAGAAUACCCACUCCAGUAUGUUUGGGCUUCCCUGGUAGCUCAGACAGUAAAGAAUCUGCCUGCAAUGUGGGAGACCUGGGUUCAAGGGUUGGGAAGAUCCCCUGGAGGAGGGUGUGGCAACCCACUCCAGUAUUCUUGCCUAGAGAAUCCCCAUGGACCAGAGGAGCCUGGAAGGCUACAGUCCCAGGGGUUGCAAAGACCCAGACAUGAUGAGUGUCUAAGCACACAGACAAAGUAUAAAUAAAUACCCCAAGCAAACAUAUGAACACUCUGUAGACUGUUCCUCAAAGCCUAAGCCAUGGCCCUUCACUGGAUUAGGAAACAAAUUUAAUGGGUCUGGACCAGCAUUUUAUUAUUUUUUAGCCUAAUUUUCAUUUUAUAUUAUAGUUGAUUGACAAUGUUGUAUUAGUUUAAGAUGUGAAAGUGAUUCAUUUGUGAAAAGAGAUUCAGUUAUACAUAUACCUACAUCCACUCUUUUUCAGAUUCUCUUCCCACAUAGGUUAUUACAGAGCAUUGAAUAAAGUUCCCUGUGCUACAUAGUAGGUCCUUGUUGAUUAUCUAUUUCAUACAAAAGUGUGUAUAUGUUAAUCACAAACUCCUACCUUAUCUUUCCCUCUACCUUCCCCCUUUGGUAACCAUAAGUUCAUUUUCUAUGUUUGUGAG
ensembl:lncRNA